CAUCUAAGUGUGAAGCCCACCUCAAGAUGAGAUUUCCCAUUUCUUUAAGAAAGUAAGAUCCCUGAGAGAUGAUCAGGUAGAUAGGUCAGAAGUGGAAGGCCAGUGAUGGUUGGAGCGGACUGAUACUAAUCGAUCGAGGACUUAACCA
rnacentral:rRNA from 1 species